rnacentral:rRNA from 1 species
ACGAACGCUGGCGGCAUGCCUAACACAUGCAAGUCGAACGAGACCUUCGGGUCUAGUGGCGCACGGGUGCGUAACGCGUGGGAACCUGCCCUUAGGUUCGGAAUAACUCCCCGAAAGGGGUGCUAAUACCGGAUAAUGUCUUCGGACCAAAGAUUUAUCGCCUUUGGAUGGGCCCGCGUUGGAUUAGCUAAUUGGUAGGGUAAAAGCCUACCAAGGCGACGAUCCAUAGCUGGUCUGAGAGGAUGAUCAGCCACACUGGGACUGAGACACGGCCCAGACUCCUACUGGAGGCAGCAGUGGGGAAUAUUGGACAAUGGGCGAAAGCCUGAUCCAGCAAUGCCGCGUGAGUGAUGAAGGCCUUAGGGUUGUAAAGCUCUUUUACCCGGGAUGAUAAUGACAGUACCGGGAGAAUAAGCUCCGGCUAACUCCGU